UCCCUGGUGGCUCAGAGGGUAAAGAGCCUGCCUGCAGUGCGGGAGACCCAGGUUCAACCCCUGGGUUGGGAA
rnacentral:tRNA from 1 species